rnacentral:rRNA from 1 species
CACGUAGGGUGCGAGCGUUGUCCGGAAUUAUUGGGCGUAAAGAGCUCGUAGGCGGUUUGUCGCGUCUGCUGUGAAAACCCGAGGCUCAACCUCGGGCCUGCAGUGGGUACGGGCAGACUAGAGUGGCGGUAGGGGAGAUUGGAAUUCCUGGUGUAGCGGUGGAAUGCGCAGAUAUCAGGAGGAACACCAAUGGCGAAGGCAGAUCUCUGGGCCGUAACUGACGCUGAGGAGCGAAAGCAUGGGGGAGCGAACAGG